GAUGAAGAACGUAGCGAAAUGCGAUACUUGGUGUGAAUUGCAGAAUCCCGUGAACCAUCGAGUCUUUGAACGCAAGUUGCGCCCGAAGCCAUUAGGCCGAGGGCACGCCUGCCUGGGCGUCACACGUCAUUGCCCCCCCCAUCUACUCCUUCGGGAUUGCGGGGGGCGGAUGAUGGCCUCCCGUGUGCCUCGCCGCGCGGUUGGCAUAAAUGCCAAGUCCUCGGCGACGCACGCCACGACAAUCGGUGGUUGCGAAACCUCGGUUGCCCGUCGUGUGCGGUCGUCGCGCAUCGAGGGCUCGAAAAAAUUGCCGGGUUCCGGCUCGGCUUUCAACGCGACCCCAGGUCAGGCGGGGUUACCCGCUGAAUUUAAGCAUAUCAAUAAGCGGAGGA
rnacentral:misc_RNA from 1 species